UACGUAGGGAGCAAGCGUUGUUCGGAAUCACUGGGUGUAAAGGGAGCGUAGGCGGAAAGGUCUGUUAGAAGUGAAAUACUUAGGCUUAACCUAAGAAACGCUUUUAAUACUGCCUUUCUUGAGUAGAGGAGAGGGAAACGGAAUUCCAGGUGUAGCGGUGGAAUGCGUAGAUAUCUGGAAGAACACCAGUUGCGUAGGCGGUUUCCUGGACUCAUACUGACGCUGAGGCUCGAAAGCUAGGGGAG
rnacentral:rRNA from 1 species